rnacentral:lncRNA from 1 species
UAAAAUUAAGAGAUUUAAUUUAUUAAUUAAAUAUUAAUAUUAUCUGAUAUACCUAAGAUCUCCUAAAAUCUUAAGGCUAUAAAUAAAACAUGACAUCCUAGGUUUAGGGUUAGCUACAUAGAUUAAUUACACCCUUUAUUGAACAAAGAGAACUUUAGGUAGUCAAGAGGAUAGUUAGGAAAGAAAGAACUCAAAAUUAGGAAAUAUUUUUUAGAACAAUAAUACUCUUUUCAUCCCAUUAAACACUUAAUCAAACCCCAAAUAGUUGGAUUCAUAUCCACUAUUUGAUUCAACCUCCUCUUCAUCUCUAAAGACUCAAGGAUCAACAUAAUAUGGUGACAAUCUGAGAGUUCUACAAGCCUGCAUCGUUAGCAUCCUCUUUUAUUUCUUUCUUUUCUUUAUGAUCUAGAAACAUGAUUAGGGUUGAUCUUGAAUGCUAUAUGUGAUUUAUAUGAUUAGAUCUAGGGCUAUUAGUAGAUUAGUAUAUUUUUGUGAUGUGUAUGUUGGGUCUUGAGAUCUGAUAACAUGUUCUUAUUUGGGUUCUUGAAUCUAAUGAUUUGAAAGAUUAGGUUAAUAUGUUAGAUUUUUUUUUAUCUUUAUGAUAUUUCUUUUGAUUAUGUGAUUAGAUCUAUAUUUUUAGGAUUUUGUAAUUUAAUUUAAGAUCUGCCAUGUUAGGUUCAUGCCUUCUAUCAGUUGUUAUUUUUUUAUGUUUUACAUGUUUUGAUCUUAUUUAAUUGAAUUUUAUGCUUUUAAUUUGUUAAAUUACAUGUAUUAACCGCUUUUAUCUUAUAUGCAUGUUAAAUCGGCUUCUGGACAAGAGGAUCAAAGAACUAAGGCGAACUCAUCAAUAACCAAGCCCUAAAGUCGAUCGGCUGUUCAUCCAAAUGUGGUCUAAUUUUAGAUUCUCUUUUUUUUGUUGCAAUUUUGGUACUCUGUAACUUAUUUUAUUUGUUUUCCUUUUAUAUUUUAGUUGUAG